UCCUGAAAGGCUCAGAUGGUAAAGAAUCUGCCUGCAAUGCAGGAGACCUGGGUUCGAUCCCCAGGUCAGGAA
rnacentral:tRNA from 1 species